rnacentral:rRNA from 1 species
CCUACGGGGGGCUGCAGUGGGGAAUAUUGGACAAUGGGGGCAACCCUGAUCCAGCCAUGCCGCGUGUGUGAAGAAGGCCCUCGGGUUGUAAAGCACUUUCAGUGAGGAAGAACGCCUGGUGGUUAAUACCCAUCAGGAAAGACAUCACUCACAGAAGAAGCACCGGCUAACUCCGUGCCAGCAGCCGCGGUAAUACGGAGGGUGCGAGCGUUAAUCGGAAUUACUGGGCGUAAAGCGCGCGUAGGUGGCUUGAUAAGCCGGUUGUGAAAGCCCCGGGCUCAACCUGGGAACGGCAUCCGGAACUGGCAAGCUAGAGUGCAGGAGAGGAAGGUAGAAUUCCCGGUGUAGCGGUGAAAUGCGUAGAGAUCGGGAGGAAUACCAGUGGCGAAGGCGGCCUUCUGGACUGACACUGACACUGAGGUGCGAAAGCGUGGGUAGCAAACAGGAUUAGAUACCCUUGUAGUC